CCUACGGGUGGCAGCAGUGAGGAAUAUUGGUCAAUGGGCGCGAGCCUGAACCAGUCAAGUCGCGUGAGGGAGGACGGCCCUACGGGUUGUAAACCUCUUUUGCCGGGGAGCAACGGGCGUCACGUGUGGCGUCACUGAGAGUACCCGGAGAAAAAGCAUCGGCUAACUCCGUGCCAGCAGCCGCGGUAAUACGGAGGAUGCGAGCGUUAUCCGGAUUUAUUGGGUUUAAAGGGUGCGCAGGCGGAAGAUCAAGUCAGCGGUAAAAUUGAGAGGCUCAACCUCUUCGAGCCGUUGAAACUGGUUUUCUUGAGUGAGCGAGAAGUAUGCGGAAGGCGGGGUGUAGCGGUGAAAUGCAUAGAUAUCACGCAGAACUCCGAUGGCGAAGGCAGCAUACCGGCGCUCAACUGACGCUCAUGCACGAAAGUGUGGGUAUCGAACAGGAUUAGAUACCCUAGUAGUC
rnacentral:rRNA from 1 species